GAUGAACGCUGGCGGCGUGCCUAAUACAUGCAAGUCGAGCGAACGGACGAGAAGCUUUCUUCUCUGAUGUUAGAGGCGGACGUGAGAGUAACACGUGGAUAAGCUACCUAUAAGACUGGGAUCACAUCGUGAAACCGUAGCUAAUACCGGAUGAUAUUUUGAACCGCAUGGUUCAAAAGUGAAAGACGGUCUUGCUGUCACUUAUAGAUGGAUCCGCGCUGCAUUAGCUAGUUGGUAAGGUAACGGCUUACCAAGGCAACGAUGCAUAGCCGACCUGAGAGGGUGAUCGGCCACACUGGAACUGAGACACGGUCCAGACUCCUACGGGAGGCAGCAGUAGGGAAUCUUCCGCAAUGGGCGAAAGCCUGACCGAGCAACGCCGCGUGAGUGAUGAAGGUCUUCGGAUCGUAAAACUCUGUUAUUAGGGAAGAACAGCUGUGUAAGUAACUGUACGCAUCUUGACGGUACCUAAUCAGAAAGCAACGGCUAACUACGUG
rnacentral:rRNA from 1 species